UCCGGUAUAGUGUAACGGUUAACAUAUCGCGUUUUCACCGCGAAGCUCGGGGUUCGAUUCCCCGUACCGGAG
rfam:Chaetomium globosum CBS 148.51 scaffold_2 genomic scaffold, whole genome shotgun sequence.